CCUGUGUAAGGUACCCUUUUCUAAAGAAAUAUUGAAGUAAUUUGUACAAUUAUAACGCGCCGAGCUGUGUUUUAUUUUAUUGUUUCUAAGAAGAUGUAAGAAUACAAUAUUAUCAAUUUUAAUUGGUUUUAUCCAAAUCAAGAUUGUGUACAAUGGGAGUGAGUGAUGUAAUCUUCUAAUGCGUGUGGUGAAAAGAAGGCGAAACCGUUAUUGUUUUUCUGCCCAAAUUUGAAGCUAUUUAAUAAAUCUUGAUAAAGUUAAAAAACUGUUUUGAUUUGUUUGUUUUUGUUUUAAUUGUUUCCCGUGAGUUUUCGAAAUUCGUUCCAGCAGAUUCUGUGGCUUCUACUGCCGGUAUUUUUACGUGAUAAAAAUA